GACGAACGCUGGCGGCGUGCUUAACACAUGCAAGUCGAACGGUAAGGCCCUUCGGGGUACACGAGUGGUGAACGGGUGAGUAACACGUGGGUGAUCUGCCCUGCACUUCGGGAUAAGCCUGGGAAACUGGGUCUAAUACCGGAUAGGACCACUGCCUGCAUGGGUGGUGGUGGAAAGCUUUUGCGGUGUGGGAUGGGCCCGCGGCCUAUCAGCUUGUUGGUGGGGUGAUGGCCUACCAAGGCGACGACGGGUAGCCGGCCUGAGAGGGUGACCGGCCACACUGGGACUGAGAUACGGCCCAGACUCCUACGGGAGGCAGCAGUGGGGAAUAUUGCACAAUGGGCGCAAGCCUGAUGCAGCGACGCCGCGUGAGGGAUGACGGCCUUCGGGUUGUAAACCUCUUUCAGCACCGACGAAGCGCAAGUGACGGUAGGCGCAGAAGAAGGACCGGCCAACUACGUGCCAGCCGCCGCAGUAA
rnacentral:rRNA from 1 species